UAUACAUAUAUAAUUAUGUGUGCGUGUGUGUAUAUGUGUGUGUGCGUUUGCGUCUGGGUAUGUUUGUGUGUGCGCGUGUGUGUAUAUGUUUAUGCAUGUGUGUAUGAGUGUGUGCGUGUGUGAAUGUGUGUAAUGUUACUAACCUCGUGCUCUCAAUAACAACGGAUCAGCUGGCCACCAUCUGUGAGAAAACCAACACCAUGUCGCAAUUCACUCUGCCAGAAAUUUGCAAACGACAUGCUGUACUGCUUGGCAUUCGCGCCGGAAGCUCCAAUACGAACAUUUCAGAGGGUUUGGGUGUCAAUCUGAGGAUAGUGCAAUCUGAAUGAUAAAAAUCAAACAUCCAGUCGACAUCAUGGUGUUUGGAGUGAUCACUAGUAAUGGUGACGUUAUGCCCUCCAUUCAUCUUUCUACACGGCCUCAGACUCAGCACGGAUGCCUACAACAAGUGCCCGGGGGAAGCAGUGCUGCCUUGGAUCGAGAGGGUGGCUGCUGGAAGUCCCUAUGUCUGGCAACAGGACUCUACCUCAUUCCACGCAAGCAAGAGAACCCAGUCAUGGAUGUCAGACAAUUUCUGCGACCACAUCACCCCUAACAUUUGGGCACCUAAUUCCCCGGACUGCAAACUCCUUGAUUAUUAUGUGUGGGGCGGAGUUGAGCGAGAGAUCAACAAAACUCCUUGUAACACCAAAGAUUAACCGAAAGCAAGGAUUAUCGCAGCAUUGACCAACUUAACAAGGAGACCAUCCAGAAGAGUUGCAGGAGAUUCCGAAGUCGUCUGGAGGCUGUGGUUGAAACCAAUGGCAAUUUUAUUGAAUAAAUUUACUUUUGAGUA